CUUCGGAGAAGCUCAUUUGGUUGAGUGCCGAAGGGGCAAGGUGAAAACCGAAACUCUCAGGCAAAAGGACGAAGA
rnacentral:ncRNA from 1 species